GACAUAUUACUGGAGUUCUUGAGAAGCACAAAGCACCUAAUGUUAAGAAGAGCAUUAGCAUGGAACAAGAAGCAAUCCAUAAACCCUAAACAACGAGGAGUUAAUUGGUCAAAAUGGAGAGUAAUUAUUGGUCAAUCUAAGUUGAUCAAUAAUUAGGAGUUAAUAAGAGAACUUACAAUAGAAGAUUGAUUUAAGUCAACCAGAAACGAACUUGGAUGGAGCUUAUCGGUAAUGAAAUAUCAUUAGAUGGAACCUCUAAUCAUACAUUUGGACCUUUUAAGACCAGUUGUUAGGAAAAGGCUCCAAAAAAAUUAGUAGAUGCAUCAAUCUUAUGAACAUAUAAAACAACAAACUUCAUACGAAGGAAAAUGCAAACACUUCCAUCUGUUCUUGUUGCAUGAAAGACCGAGUGCAGUCCUGUAAUCUGAUAGAAAAACACAUGUAUCCAUCUCUAGUUUAGGAAAAAUGCAUAACCUAUUUAUUUUCAAUGUUUCAUGACAGCUAGUUUAAAGAAAAACUGGAGAUCUAUAAUCAGUAAGAUAAGAGUGGUUUCUUCCAAAUCUCAGAAAGACAUUUUCAUGGAAAUUAUCAAAAUCGUACGACAAAGACAGGCUAAGAGUUUACCAAAACUGAAAAUAGAAUUUCAUCUCAAAAGUGAAGAUAAGGCCAAGUGCAGUACUCUAUUUUAAUAGAAAAACAUCUCAAAAUUCCGUCCCAAAAUGAAGAUAUGGUUCAAGUCACACAAGGAAAGAACUUUGGUCAGUAGCUUGUAUAUAUGACAUGCUUAUGGGUAGAAUAGAAGGAUAAGGAUUAUCUGGAGGAUAAGAUAAAAUUAGUUUUGUUCCAACUCUGAGAAAGACAUUCUUAUGAAAAUUAUCAAAAUCAUACAACAUAGACUUCCCAAGAGUUGGGCAAAAGUCAAGUUAAAAUUCCAUCCCAAAAGUGAAGAUAUGACUGAGUGAAGCACUCUAUUUUAAUAGAAAAACAUGUAGCCAGGAAAAUUGCAUGACCUAUUUAUUUUCAAUGUUUCAUGACAGCUAGCUUAAAGAAGAAAUGAAGAGAUGGUUUAGACCGCACAAGCAGAAGGUUUUAGUCAGUAACUUACAUAAUACAUAUAACAUUGCAUUAGAAAGACAAAAAAACCCAUUACAUAAGGUUAUGGGUCGAAAAUAAGGGAUUUUAGCAGGAUUAUCUUUGUUAACGAUAAAGAUAAGAAUAGUUUUCUUCCAGCCCUUAGGCAGAAAGACAUACUUCUGGAAAUAGACUACCUAUGAGUUUCCCGGAAGUGAAGAUAAAAUUCCAUUGUACAUUCAUCAGACACAAAUCUCAAGUACGUCGAGCAACAAAAAUCUCCCAACAGGAGAACUCUUCAGUCAAACAAUCUCAUAUUUUAUUAUUUGAAAAAAAUAAGGCAAAUAGACUAAUCAAUAUUGUAUGGCAAUUGCUGGCACAAUAAUAUAUCAAAAUCCAGUUGGAAAAGUAAAAAACUAAAAUUGUUUUGAUCGUGAAUAUGUUUCCAUUGUCCAAUUUUAGGAUCCUAAUCGUGUUUAAUCUUUUCCUCACUCUGACCAUAUUAAGCAUUUUCAUCCCCUUUCUCUACCCAUUAAAUUCUAGCCCUGACCAUCAUUUGAUGUGAAUUUAUUUUUAAGGGCCAUACAUUUAUAUUGUUGGAGAAAAUUUAAAGUGAAAAAAAAUCAACAUUAUCAAUUUCAGUAACAUCUUCAAAAGUUCAGUUGUCCAAAGCAAGUAUGCAAAGCAUGUAUGUUUAGUGGAGUAGACUUGAUCUAACGUGUGGUUCUUCUAAACUCUUCUGAAAGACCAAUGAAGAAAGGAAAAAUAAUAUCAUCCACUAGCAUGAAGAUUUAUCUUUAAAGGAUCAAAGAGUUUCAUAGGUGAAACAUCUUCACUGUCAACUAUUCCUAAAACAUUCUUGAUGCUACUCUAAGCCUCCGGUAGAUCUCUUAUAGCAGGAUUAUGCUGCAGUACUUUUAGAUAUGAUGUUAUGAAAGGAGCACUCCAGCUAGAAUUACUUGCAAAAUAUUAAUGCCAUCUGUGAUCUAAGCAAUUAUAUGAGAGUAACUCUAAAAGCACAUACCUUACAUAAUAUGACAUGAAGCAAACAUAAUAACUCUAAGAUAAUUACUACAGAAAAAAAAAUACAUGUGGUACAACCACUCAACUCUACGAACGCAUCCAUUAUAUAAUGUUAGGUAUGAUGUUAUGAAAGGAGCCCUCUAAUUAGAAUUAUUUGCAACAUAUUAGUGCUAUCUAUGAUCUAAGCAAUUAAAUGAGAGCAACUCUAAAAACAGAUCCAUUUUAUAAUGUUAUGAAAGGAGCCCUCCAAUUAGAAUUACUUGCAACAUAUUAAUGCUAUCGAGGAUCUAAGCAAUUAUAUAAUAUGUUUUUUUGAAAAAAAUUGAAACUCUAAGAAAAUUACUACAGAAAAAAAACGAUGUAACCAUUCAACUCACCAAGUUCAAGUUGGAGAAGGAAUCCGACAUAGGCACAGUGACCUUGAAGGCCUACAGCAACGAGAGCAGCAACCAGUGUGCGAUUGCUCUGAUCCCCAGUGAUCACAGGGAGAGAGCCAACAAUCUCCUUGUGCAACUGGGGAGCUAAUACGGAGAGGGUCUUCAUCAGCCACC
rnacentral:lncRNA from 1 species